UACGGAGGGGGCUAGCGUUGUUCGGAAUUGCUGGGCGUAAAGCGCACGUAGGUGGCUUUGUAAGUUAGAGGUGAAAGCCCGGGGCUCAACUCCGGAAUUGCCUUUAAGACUGCAUCGCUAGAACGUCGGAGAGGUAAGUGGAAUUCCGAGUGUAGAGGUGAAAUUCGUAGAUAUUCGGAAGAACACCAGUGGCGAAGGCGACUUACUGGACGACUGUUGACACUGAGGUGCGAAAGCGUGGGGAGCAAACAGG
rnacentral:rRNA from 1 species